CGCCCAUACUGAGCAAUGGAUGCUAACCAUGACGGAUUCCAGCGUUGAUGCCUUUUAGGUGUCUUGUUGGUUGGUGUGGUGGGAACCGAUGUUGUGAGGUCAGCGUAUUAACA
rnacentral:rRNA from 1 species